AGUCAAGUGGUUGAAUCUUACAGCAGUGGCGAGGAGGAUGACUUGGUGGGUAAUGGUUUUAACUAUUAAAUGUUCAUUUUGGAAAUCUUCAUAUUGGUGCUAAUAGGAGUCCAGAUGAUGUAAUUAUUUUAUUUUUCCUCCUUCGAAUGCAAUUAUAAUUAUUUUAGCUUUUUGGUUUGGGGAGAGAGAGAGAGAGAGAGAUCCAUUUAAGUUAGAAGCUGAAUUUUUUUCCAGUCCCUUUUUGUUCAUCUUU
rnacentral:misc_RNA from 1 species